rnacentral:tRNA from 1 species
ACAUCUGUAGCUCAGUAGGAUAGAGCAACGGUUUCCUAAACCGUGUGCCGGAGGUUCGAUCCCUCUCAGGUGUACCA